GUGGGAGCGAGCCUGCUCGCGAUGGCGUAGUGUCAGUCAAUAUCAAUGCAACCUGUCACACCAUAAUCGCGAGCAGGCUCGCUCCCAC
rnacentral:misc_RNA from 1 species